AUAACUACAGUGAAACACGCAAUUUGAUUGGUCAAUAGCCGUGCAGGAUCAGGCUAUCCUGCACGAGGAAUUAAAAUGCCUUCGCGGGAUUCUCAAAAUGUCAUUGUUUCACUGUAGUUAUUUUAUAAAACAAUUACCAAAUGGUUUUCCAAGCAGGAUAGCGUGAUCCAUGCACUUGGGAUGUUGCUCGACUUUCGGAAAGCGUAAAAAUACACUCGCCUGCGGCUCGAGUAUUUUUACGCUUUCCGAAAGUCUCGCGACAUCCCUCGUGCAUGGAUUACGCAAUCUUGCACGGAAAACCAUUCGGUAUUCCUUUAUUCC